CUUGUGCUCAGUAUCAAGCGUGUUGCUGUAGUUUCCAUUUGUCUAUGUCGAGGAUGAUACUUAGCAAACACAAAUACAUUUUUACCUUAAAAAAAAGGAAAAAGAGAGUGCAGAUAUUGCGAUGUGUAUAAAUGUAUUUACUCAGAUCCUGUUGGGUCAUUGUUGUGUGCAAUUAUAAUACAGGUAGCAGCAUUUUCCAUUAUUCCAUACUGUCUUCAAAUGCAAACUGUUACGUAUAGGGGAAGCUCACUUUUGUCGAAUAGUCAAGGCAAUAGAAGAUGCUGCUAAGUUCCCAGGUAUCUCCUCCUUAGUUUGCAUGGAGCAAGCAACAUCCCCCGGCCACCGUCCCCUAUAUGUACAUCUCCGAGAACUUCUAUGCCGGCAUCGUCGCCGGUCUAGCCCAAUUGGUUGCCUUCAUGCCCUAGAUCUCGGACAUCUUGGUUCCCUCUAGAUUUCCCCACUCA
rnacentral:lncRNA from 1 species